UACGUAGGGUGCAAGCGUUAAUCGGAAUUACUGGGCGUAAAGCGUGCGCAGGCGGUUGUGUAAGACAGAUGUGAAAUCCCCGGGCUCAACCUGGGAAUUGCGUUGGAGACUGUAAGGCUGGAGUCUGGCAGAGGGGGGUAGAAUUCCACGUGUAGCAGUGAAAUGCGUAGAGAUGUGGAGGAACACCGAUGGCGAAGGCAGCCCCCUGGGUCAAGACUGACGCUCAUGCACGAAAGCGUGGGGAGCAAACAGG
rnacentral:rRNA from 1 species